CGAUGUUUUAAUCGAAAUUCAAUUAAGUUUACUUGAAUCAAAUAGCUGAAGAAGUUUAUCUUUAUGAUAUUUUUCUAAAUUUUACACUGUAAGUGGUUCUCCUGUGAAGUUGCAAAAACGUCGCUUAUACCACAUCGCCUUUCACCCCGCUAUGUGUUCAAAAUCUAAGUAAAGUUAGCCGAGCGAGUGUUAUCACUAUUUUUUGUAGCUUCUUUGACCUUUUCAUCUCUUAUCUCCUUCCCCGUUAUAUCCACAUGACCAGAUAUGCAAGCAAAGUCAUACGAGCAUGUAAACAUAAAAUAUUUUUUUUUGACAGGAACAAUAAGUCUUCUACCAAACACUAAUUUUAAUUAGGUUAUUUAAAUAGCUGGAACAGUGAUCAAAAAGUUACUGAAAAUAAUUGAAUAAUUAAUGGUUUUGUAUCAAUUUUAAGCUAUAGUAACAGCAAUGCAUUCACUAUUGUUCGCUGAAAAUGAAGUGAAUAGUGCAAUGCAAUAUAAAAUUUGUGUUAAUAUAAUCAAGGAUGGCACCAGUGUGACCAGUUUCCUCUAAUUUAAGACCUCCUUAUCAGAAAAAUGUCAUUAACGGCAAUGUCUCUGUCAAAUAAAUAUCAAUGAAAACAUUCUCUUCAACUACAGCAGACGUGCAUCAUACGGCCCACCUGAUGGUGAGUGGCUACUAUUGCCCAUGGAUUACAGAAAUGCCAGGGGCAGAGUCAAGCCACUACCUACCAUAAAGUAUUCUCCACAUGCCUCAUUUGAAGAAAAACAUGUCAAAGCACUCGUGAAAUACCGUGGAGAGGAGCACAGUUCAAAGCCGGAAGGUAUAUGGCAAAAAAAGGUAUCUGAAAACGCACUGUGGAUGAACACAAUGGCUCCAGGUAGUAUGGAUGAACUCUACUCCCGUUGCUGGUGGUGCAAAGGUAAAAACGAGAUGAUGGGAUCACCUCAAACAAUUCCUAAGAGAACUCCCCAUGGAACAUACUGUACACAAUAUAGAGAGAACCAAAGUUCCUCUGCAGACAAAUGUGACAAAUUAAAAACACACAAUCAUGGAAAGGCACUACAUAGUCUAAAAAACAAAGUCGCUUUCUCUGUCCCUAUAUCCCUAUGUAUGCUUAAAUCUUUAAAACUACGCAACAGAUUUUUAUGUGGUUUUUUUUAAUAGACAGAGUGAUUGAAGAAGAAGGUUUAUAUGUAUAAUAACAUCCAUUAAAUAGUGGAGAAAUCAAUAUUAAAUUACAGUUUCUGAAGCGAAGCAAGGGCGGAUCGCUAGUAAAUUAUAAAAUGCAAAAUAAAUAUAGAAAAAUACACACAAAUUGAAUUUUUAUCUUGAAAUCUCAUGUGUGUUUUUGUUCAAUAAUUCGUUUCAAUACAAUGUGAAGUAUAUAUUCUUUUAAAAUUGCUAAGUGUUUUCAAGCUAACCUUUACACCCCUAUAAAUAGAAUUUGUAAAUAAUAUUAUGCUUGCAGUGUGCUUCCUGGCCUUAUAUAAAGAUAUUUUUGUACAAACUUAGUUCUGUUACAUCAUUCAAAUGCACCUAGUUGGUUAGUUGGCAAUUACAGUAACAAUAUGCACAGUACACAUAAGUUGACUCGGCAAUCGUUAACAUCAACUACCACACUUCAAGCAGCAUGCAAUACUUGAACUGGAUGAAAAUGUUUAAUUUUGAAUGUUGAUAAUUUGUAGAUUUUGUAAUUGUUCAAAUAACUGAACGUCGGUCUAUCGCAUGAGCUUAUCGACUUAUAGUAUAUAUAAGGAUAUUGGUUUAAAAUACAUAGCGAUUUUAUUAAAUCACAGCGAUGAAACUGUUGGAGUUUGUAUAUUAAAUGUAAUGGCAGGCAACACUUGACACUUGAUUAGAUUUCGAAUAUUGGAAUUAUUUUAAAUGUUUUAAAAAACAGAUCAUUGUAUUCUCGUAAGAAAAUGUUAGGACUUCUCAUCUAGACACGGCAAGACAAACAUGUAAUAGUUUUAUAAAAAAUAUAAAGAUAAUAAUUGUAUAAUGGUGUAAAAGUGUUCGAGCAAUCUGCAAUAUAAUUAUAAUGAAGCAGUUGUGUUUUUAAAUAGCCCUUCAUCACCUACAGAACCCAAUCCCUUCAAACGUAACCAUCCAACAGGUUAUGGGCCCAGACCAGAAUUUAUAAGGUAAUAUUUAUUAUAGUUUGCUAAUUAAAAAAAGCCGACAUCACCAUGGAAACCAAACUGUUUGUAAAAAUUUUUCAUAGCAACCAAUUUGUAACGAAUUUAAUAAAAUAAAACCAGUCAAAAACAUAGAAAAUGUUGUAAAACUUGGCUGGAAGACAAGAGAUAUAAGGUAAUGGAAGGGAGAACAACAAAUAAAAAAUAAUCGUGAAGACGAAGUCGACGAAGUUCGAGAAGGUGCUAGAGGAAGAAAUUGAGUUAAUGGAGUUCGAGAAGGUGAUUUUAGAGGGAAUAAUAGUAAUGGAGGUAAUGAAGUUCGAGACGGUGUUAGAGGAAGAAAUGCAGUUAAUGAAGUUCGAGAAGGUGAACUAGGAAGAAAUGAAGAGUUAGUGGAGUUCGAGAAGGUGAUAUUAGAGGAAAUAAUAGUAAUUGAGUGUAAUGAAGUAGAAAUGCCGUAAAGUUCGAGAAGAUGUUGUUAAAAGGCGAAAUAUAGAGAAACAAAUGAAAGUGGAACAAAUGAUUUCAGAUUAACAAAUGAAAAUCUGGUCAUGGAAAACUUUGAGACGUUAAGUGUAUUCAUUUAAAAAAAAAAAAAAAAAAAAAAGUGAACUUGUGUUUCGGGAUAAAUGGGUUAGUUUAAUAAGUUCUUUGGGAAUUUAAAUGUUGUAUUAUACAACCAUAGAUUUAUCUAAAAAGAGACAAGAAUGAAUUCAAAAAUUAAGGGGGUGAUAUUAUUCAACACACAAACAAUUAAGGGGUGAUCAUAAAAAUAUAUUUUUUUAUUAAUUAUACUAUAAAUACAAUAGAUAGUCUAGCCGUGGAGGAAGUACACAUUAUUUGAUACAAACAUAUUUACAGUCGUUUUUUAAAAUCCUUUUGAAUCUCUUUUAUAGUUUUGUAUUAUUGUUGUUUUGUUUUUUUUUUAUGGCAGUUUGGAAUUCUUGUUUUUGUGUUAUAUUAAAAUAAUUGAACGGAUAUGUGCAAAAAGUGGGAAAAUUUAGGAAGUGAGAAAAAUAUAAAAGAUAAUGGAAGGUUGUAUGAAUAAUGUAAGGUUGUAUGUGUUAUGUGAAUUGAAAUGUUGAGUUUGUUGAAGUUGUGCGAGGUUAUUUGUUAUGAGUUAUGUGGUUUGUGAGUGGAGUUGAAGGUGAUUAAGGUUAAAGAAGUUGAGAGGGAGAUUAACGUUAAAUAAGUCGAGAAGGAGAUAAAGGAGUUUAAAGGUAAAAGAGUCGAGAAGGAGUUUAAGGUUAUAGAGGUCGAGAAGGAGUUUAAGGUUAUUAAAGUAAAGAGGUUGAGAAGGCGUUUAAGGUUAUUAAAGUAAAGAGGUUGAGAAGGCGUUUAAGGUUAUUAAAGUAAAGAGGUUGAGAAGGCGUUUAAGGUUAUUAAAGUAAAGAGGUUGAGAAGGCGUUUAAGGUUAUUAAAGUAAAGAGGUUGAGAAGGCGUUUAAGGUUAUUAAAGUAAAGAGGUUGAGAAGGCGUUUAAGGUUAUUAAAGUAAAGAGGUUGAGAAGGCGUUAAAAGUUCUAAAUAAACUUGAAGAGUUUAUGUAGGAAGUUGAGAAGGAGUUAGACUAUUAUAGUUAAGGUUUUAUAUAGUGAGUCAAGAGGGAAGUUAAGGUUGAAUGGUUGUAUGGUUGAAUGAAAGUACAUUUUUGAUCGAAUUGGAGUUGGAGAAGUAAGAAAGGAUUAAAGGUAGCGACAUUAAAGAUAGUAUUAAGUUUGAAAGGUUGAAUGAAUAGUUGUUGUUGAAUUGAGAGGGAUUAUGUAGAAGUAACGGAAUGUAAGUGGUUGUGAGGUUUUUUAGGUAUGUAUGGAAAUAAUUAAUUUAUGAAGGUCAGGUUAGCGUUAUUCUUUUUUGGUAUUAAAUUAUAGAUGGAGAAAAAUGUGUGCAAGUGUUGAGGGGGUGUGUUGGAGUUUGUAUAUUAAAUGUAAUGGCAGGCAACACUUGACACUUGAUUAGAUUUCGAAUAUUGGAAUUAUUUUAAAUGUUUUAAAAAACAGAUCAUUGUAUUCUCGUAAGAAAAUGUUAGGACUUCUCAUCUAGACACGGCAAGACAAACAUGUAAUAGUUUUAUAAAAAAUAUAAAGAUAAUAAUUGUAUAAUGGUGUAAAAGUGUUCGAGCAAUCUGCAAUAUAAUUAUAAUGAAGCA